rnacentral:rRNA from 1 species
GAGGAAUAUUGGUCAAUGGGCGAGAGCCUGAACCAGCCAAGUAGCGUGCAGGAUGACGGCCCUAUGGGUUGUAAACUGCUUUUGUAUGGGGAUAAAGUCAAUCACGUGUGAUUGUUUGCAGGUACCAUACGAAUAAGGACCGGCUAAUUCCGUGCCAGCAGCCGCGGUAAUACGGAAGGUCCGGGCGUUAUCCGGAUUUAUUGGGUUUAAAGGGAGCGUAGGCUGGAGAUUAAGUGUGUUGUGAAAUGUAGACGCUCAACGUCUGACUUGCAGCGCAUACUGGUUUCCUUGAGUACGCACAACGUUGGCGGAAUUCGUCGUGUAGCGGUGAAAAGCUUAGAUAUGACGAAGAACUCCGAUUGCGAAGGCAGCUGACGGGAGCGCAACUGACGCUGAAGCUCGAAGGUGCGGGUAUCGAACAGGAUUAGAUACCCUGGUAGUCCGCACAGUAAACGAUGGAUGCCCGCUGUUGGUACCUGGUAUCAGCGGCUAAGCGAAAGCAUUAAGCAUCCCACCUGGGGAGUACGCCGGCAACGGUG